GCUCUCUUGGCGGCGAGUGGCGGACGGGUGAGUAAUAUAUCGGAACGUGCCCAGUAGCGGGGGAUAACUACUCGAAAGAGUGGCUAAUACCGCAUACGCCCUACGGGGGAAAGGGGGGGAUCGCAAGACCUCUCACUAUUGGAGCGGCCGAUAUCGGAUUAGCUAGUUGGUGGGGUAAAGGCUCACCAAGGCAACGAUCCGUAGCUGGUUUGAGAGGACGACCAGCCACACUGGGACUGAGACACGGCCCAGACUCCUACGGGAGGCAGCAGUGGGGAAUUUUGGACAAUGGGGGAAACCCUGAUCCAGCCAUCCCGCGUGUAUGAUGAAGGCCUUCGGGUUGUAAAGUACUUUUGGCAGAGAAGAAAAGGUAUCUCCUAAUACGAGAUACUGCUGACGGUAUCUGCAGAAUAAGCACCGGCUAACUACGUGCCAGCAGCCGCGGUAAUACGUAGGGUGCAAGCGUUAAUCGGAAUUACUGGGCGUAAAGCGUGUGUAGGCGGUUCGGAAAGAAAGAUGUGAAAUCCCAGGGCUCAACCUUGGAACUGCAUUUUUAACUGCCGAGCUAGAGUAUGUCAGAGGGGGGUAGAAUUCCACGUGUAGCAGUGAAAUGCGUAGAU
rnacentral:rRNA from 1 species